AGAGUUUGAUCCUGGCUCAGGAUGAACGCUAGCGGCAGGCCUAAUACAUGCAAGUCGAGCGGAGCAGCAAUGCUUAGCGGCGGACGGGUGCGUAAUGUAUGAGCAACUUGCCUCUUACAGUGGGAUAGCCUCGCGAAAGUGGGAGUAAUACCGCAUAUUAUCUUUGGGGAGCAUUUUCUGGAGAUGAAAGGAGCAAUCCGGUAAGAGAUGGGCUCAUAUCCGAUUAGCUAGUUGGUGAGGUAACAGCUUACCAAGGCGACGAUCGGUAGCUGGUCUGAGAGGAUGAUCAGCCACACUGGCACUGAGACACGGGCCAGACUCCUACGGGAGGCAGCAGUAGGGAAUAUUGGGCAAUGGGCGGAAGCCUGACCCAGCCAUGCCGCGUGGAGGACGAAGGCCCUCUGGGUUGUAAACUUCUUUUAUCACAGAGUAAAGCAACGUAUAGUCUAUGUUGCGUGUAAGUAUGUGAGGAAUAAGCCACGGCUAACUACGUGCCAGCAGCCGCGGUAAUACGUAGGUGGCAAGCGUUGUCCGGAUUUACUGGGUUUAAAGGGUGCGUAGGCUGUUAUAUAAGUCAUCGUUAAAAGGCUCUUGCUUAACGAGAGAUCGGCGAUGAUACUGUAUGGCUUGAGUUAGGAUGAGGUUGCCGGAACGAGUAGUGUAGCGGUGAAAUGCAUAGAUAUUACUCAGAACACCAAUUGCGAAGGCAAGCAACUGGGCCUAAACUGACGCUGAUGCACGAAAGCGUGGGGAUCAAACAGGAUUAGAUACCCUGGUAGUCCACGCUGUAAACGAUGAUCACUAGAUG
rnacentral:rRNA from 1 species